rnacentral:rRNA from 1 species
UACGGGGGGGGCAAGCGUUGUUCGGAAUUACUGGGCGUAAAGGGUUCGUAGGUGGCCAACUAAGUCAGACGUGAAAUCCCUCAGCUUAACUGGGGAACUGCGUCUGAUACUGGUUGGCUUGAGUGCAGGAGAGGAAUGCGGAAUUCCAGGUGUAGCGGUGAAAUGCGUAGAUAUCUGGAGGAACACCGGUGGCGAAGGCGGCAUUCUGGGCCAACACUGACACUCAUGCACGAAAGCGUGGGGAGCAAACAGG